CAAUAGUGUAUAUUAAAGUUGUUGCAGUUAAAAAGCUCGUAGUUGAACUUCUGGCAGCGUACAGAUUUGGCCGAGGUCAGUCUGUAUGUUGUCAUCCGUCUGCAAACUUUGUACGUCCUUGAGUGGUUCGGCAAGGGGAGUAGACAUUUUACUGUGAAAAAAUUAGAGUGUUUCAAGCAGGCUAUCGCCAGAAUACUUUAGCAUGGAAUAAUGGAAAAGGACUCUUGUCCAUUUGGUUGGUUAUUGGACCGGAGUAAUGAUUAAUAGGGACAGUUGGGGGCAUUAGUAUUUAAUUGUCAGAGGUGAAAUUCAUGGAUUUAUGAAAGACGAACUACUGCGAAAGCAUUUGCCAAGGAUGUUUUCAUUAA
rnacentral:rRNA from 1 species